rnacentral:rRNA from 1 species
GACAGAGGGUGCAAACGUUGCUCGGAAUCACUGGGCGUAAAGGGCGUGUAGGCGGGAAGGAAAGUCAGAUGUGAAAUCCCUGGGCUCAACCCAGGAACUGCAUUUGAAACUCCCUUUCUUGAGUGUCGGAGAGGAAAGCGGAAUUCCUGGUGUAGCGGUGAAAUGCGCAGAUAUCGGGAGGAACACCAGUGGCGAAGGCGACUACCUGGCCUGUUUCUUGACGCUGAGGCGCGAAAGCUAGGGGAGCAAACGGG